rnacentral:hammerhead_ribozyme from 1 species
AUUCAGCUGACGAGUCCCAAACAGGACGAAACGCUCGUCCUGGAU